UGGGGAAUAUUGGACAAUGGGGAAACCCGUGAUCCAGCGACGCCGCGUGAGUGAAGAAGUAUUUCGGUAUGUAAAGCUCUAUCAGCAGGGAAGAUGAUGACGGUACCUGACUAAGAAGCCCCGGCUAACUACGUGCCAGCAGCCGCGGUAAUACGUAGGGGGCAAGCGUUAUCCGGAUUUACUGGGUGUAAAGGGAGCGUAGACGGUGAUGCAAGUCAGAUGUGAAAGCCCGGGGCUCAACCGCGGGACUGCAUUUGAAACUGUAUGACUGGAGUGCAGGAGAGGUAAGUGGAAUUCCUAGUGUAGCGGUGAAAUGCGUAGAUAUUAGGAGGAACACCAGUGGCGAAGGCGGCUUACUGGACGAUAACUGACGCUGAGGCUCGAAAGCGU
rnacentral:rRNA from 1 species